rnacentral:rRNA from 1 species
AUGAACCAGGGCAAGCACAUCGACGCGCUGCUGGAGUGCCUAAAAGAGUGGAACGGUGAGCCCUUGCCCCUCUGCUGA